rnacentral:lncRNA from 1 species
CUGAAACCCUUGGGCCAAAUACAUUUUGGAAUAUAGAACUUUUUCAGUUGUAGAUUUGUAAUAGAGUACAUAGUAUACUAUGUAUUAUGCAACACUCUCCAACAGAGUCUGGAAAAAUACUCUAUUAUCAAACACAUUAAUAUUUCUGCAGUAAAAUGUAUGAAUGUUCAUAUUAUAUGGGAUUAAUAAAGGCUAAAAAUAGUCUUGCAUCAGUUCAGGUCAGUUUUUACCACCAAAUGAGCUUGCCUCAAACUUAUGUGAAAUUUUUCAGUUUUCAGAGCUUUAAGAUAAUUAUAUCUUACUAACCUCUGAGACUGAAGGUCCUGAUAAACUUUUGGACUCAAUUCUGAGAGGAAAGGUCACUGUCAUUCAAAAGUUACCCAUGUCAUCAACCAGAAUAUUAGUUGGCCUUCAUUUUCAAGAUUAAUUUAUGACCUUUUGCAAAAAUGUAGAAAGAAUAUUCAAAUGUAGAUUCUUCACUUAAAGAACUUCAUUUAGGCAGAUGUGUCUAGAAAAUCAUCAAAAUAGGAAGCAGAGAGUUAAUGCCUCUCUGAAUGAAUCUAAAUAGAAGCAGAUUAUUAUGGUUUUUAAUUUGGUCUGACUUGUUUUAUGUUUUAUUUCAAGGUGUCAGCAUUGUUAGGGUCAUGUUAAUUUCCAUGUUUGGAAGGAUGCAAUAAAGUACCUUUGGUUAUCAAAGGGACAGGAUUUUUAAUAACUUAUUAUUUUAAGAAGGCAGUGCUUUAUUUAAAUUUGUAUUUUAAAUAACUUUUUCUUGUAAAUAGUGAGGAACAAGUUUUUAAAUUUGAGUUAAUCUUUGCAGGAUGUCAACAUCAAACUAAUUUUACUAUUCCUUGGAAAAAUAACAAUAAUUAAGUAAAGCUUAAAGAUAAUGUACAAUUUAACACCAAAAAAACUUCUAACUCAAGAAGAAUAUGGGUUUUUAUGUUUCAAUCUAAUCUUGAUUUCAGUAUAUUUGUAGGGGUUUCUUAGACUUGCCUUUGUUCUUAGGCACACAACUCAUGCAUAAGAAACAUUAAAGAUUAAAGAACUUUGUAAAGUUCUUCUAAGAAGAUUGAGCUACUAGACAUCAAAAAGAUUAUGGGACUGAGCUACACUCGAGAAAGGUGAGCAUGGCUGGACCUUGGUACCCAAGGAAGAGACGAGAAUGGGAUGAGUUCAAAGAGUUGGAGGAGCCUAAUAGAUAUUUGGAGACUUCUAGGGCAUGGUUGAGAAUUUGAAUUUUGUUAUAAAAGCAGUUAAAAGGAAGGGUUAAAUGGAAUAGGAUGAUCUCAUUUAUGGUGAAUGGAUAGAUGAGGGCAAGAGUACAAUUAGGAAGGUGCAAUUGGGAAGGUGAUCUCAUUUCUCAUCAUAAAUGAGAAAAAUGUCAGAUAAAUCCCUUUUGAAGGACAUCCUGCUGAAUACCUGACCAGUGCUCACAACUGUCAAGGUCAUCAAAACAAGGAAAGUGAGGAACUGCCACAGCCCUGAGGAGCCUAAAGAGACAUGACUAAAUGUAAUGUGGUAUCCUGGACGGGAUCCUGAAACAGAAAAGGACGUUACAGAAAACUCAGGACAUCUGAAUGAAGUAUGGACUUUAGUUGAUAUUAAUGUAUCAGUAUUGAUUCAUUAUUGUAACAAACGUACCAUACUAAAGAUGUUAGUAGAGGAAACUGAGUGUAGGAUAUAUAGGAACUCUUGCUUUCUUUUCAACUUCUCUGUAAAUCAAAAAAAAAAAGCUGUUCUAAAAUUAAAAGUUUAUCAAAAAGAAGGUAUGGGGAUAAAUCCAGUGUAUACAAAACAAAGUGCAAGACAGUAGUAUGAGUGAAACCUGGAGAAGUACAGAGAAAAAAUCACAAUGACCUGUUCCAGCUGUCGUAUUUUUAAAACGUAGAGGAAAACAUGGAGUUUACAGGAGAUUUAAGUUACAGUCUGAACUUUGGCACUAAGAAAUUGUAUAGUUUUCAAAAGAGAGUAAACCUCCAUACUCCAUAUUUAUCUCAAAAUUCUACUUAGCGAGAGUGAUAGUCUCAUCUCUGCUAAUAAGUAAGAUUACACAACGAAGUCCAUAGUCUCAUUCUCGUGGUUCAGUCACUCAGGUGUCUGAGUGCCUGCACUUAUUUGUUUCUUCUUUUUACCUGAGGUCGUUGCAGCUUCUCAAUAUGAGAAUCAAGAAAUCUUUCUACUUGUUUCUGGUUUUCGUUUGUUCUCACUUCUCCAUGAAUCCUUCGUCCUUGAUCAGCGUUAGAUGCAAAUUCCCUGGUGCCAAGUUCUGAAGGAGAUCUCGGGUUGGAACCGGGCAGAAACCCUGAGACUUAAAGUCGUAAAGAUCUGGAAGGACCUGCCAGAGGAAGUCGGACACCCCAUCAACCGGGAGACUUCAUCUACCUAAAGGUGUUCCAGAAGAGAGACAGCUGUCACCGAGUCGGGAGGGACCCUUUCUGCUGUAAGCCUCUCAAAGUGAAAGAGCUCAGCUGGAGUCUUGCUUCCCGUGUGAAGCCGGCAUUACAGGAGGACUGGGUGGGCUUCCGCAAAGGGCCUAAAACUUAACUUUUCCAGAGUAACCAACUGGUGUUGACCUCAACUGAAAAGAAGUAUUCUAGAAAAUGUGUUACAAUUCUCAAAGGCUGCCUGGUUGUCCUGCUCGCAGCCAUGGUUAUUCCAUUUAAUUCGAAAAUCACGUUUAGUAGAAAACAAUGUUUUUUGUGACACUGCUCUUUCUUUCUGCACUCCCAGUGAUGGUUCCCACAACCACGUAGUUCUCAUCAGCUCUAAACCGGGCUCUCAGUAUGGACGUGCUCUGGACUUAAGUCCACUAGUUUGAUUAUUAGCAGAGGACACGUGGGACCAUCUUCACCAGUGAUCUUUGAUAAUAAAGUAAAAGUAAUUAAUAUGCACCAGGUGCUCAAGCUCUAAAUUUGGCACAAAAAAUGUUAACUGAUUGGAAAGAUGAUGUAGAAAAGAAAAACAUCUAAUUAAUAGACAGACAAAUAGAAACUGCAAAAGGCUGGUCUAAUGUCACUAGGUUAACAUUGGGGUUCAGGUUCUUUCUGGUCCCAGUAUGGAUGGAUAAACAAAGAUGAAUGCCUGUUAUGGAGAGAUUAUUCCCCCAAAGCAAAUACUAUACUGAAUUUUUAAGUUCAUAUUACAUUAAAUUGUCAUUCUGGAAACUGCUUUAUUUACAUUUACUCUAGACAUGCUGGACAUUUAGGUGCCUGCAAGUUGCCCAGAGAAAGGUUGAAACCACAAUGGAAAUAAUUAGAAGAUUGUGUUGUCAUUAUUUUAUAGAACACAGGGAGGAAACUGUAAGGACAGAUACAAAUUAAAAA